GGAACAUAGCUCAGUGGUAGAGCAUCUGCCUUGCAUGCAAAAGGUCCGAGGUUCAGUCCCCAGCAACUCCA